UAAGUAGAUAAAAGUACAUUAUAGUUAAAACCAGAAAACAGGAUGCGAGUGCAACAAAUAAUUGACGGUUCGUGGAAUCAACAUUAUGAUUAGGUUCAUAUGCAGUGCACAGGACACCGAUAACAUAAUGAUACAUUAUGGAUAAGUCAAUGGACCGGGGGGUAGGUAGGAGAGCCUGGGCCCUUAUAAAAGCAGACCGGAGACGGCCUGUAUUCAGACGUGUUUUCUCCACUGUACUUCGAGCACCUCCACGACAUUUUGUGUAAUAAUUUAAUUAUUUGGACUAAGUCAAUUUUACAGAAGAACAUUUUAAUAAACCACAUAGAAUAUUUCACCUGUCUACAAUUUAUUUAUCUAUUACCUCUUCAUCGACUUCAUCGUCAACAAAUCGGUCUUGCUUCCUGCAAAAUCAUAAUAUACUCGUAGUCAACUGGCUAUCAGAAUAAAUACUCUGACCACCUCAGCUACGAGAAUAUUACACUAGUCAGUAGUCACACCCCUCCACCACUCACAAAUUCCACCUGUAUAAAAUAUUAUCUGAAUAAAUAUAUUAUAACAUAGUAUUUUAAGAAAUAAUUAUAUGGAUGAAGAAUACCAAAAAUAAAAAAAUAGUCAAUACACAAAAAUCGAAAGUCCUAUGUCCAAAUUGCGAUGAUAAAUACAUUGAGGCAUAUUGUACUAAAUGCAAUAAAUGGCAUUGUGCGCUGUGCCAAUUAGUGAAUCAUAGAACUCACCAUUGUAAAACUACCUAUAAGCAAAGUUAUGGGGGAGAUCCGUUCAAAUUUAAUGAAAAAUAAAGUUAGCUUAUGUAAAAAAUCAAAUUUUGCGAAUCAAGUAAAAUCAUGCUUAGCGUUAAAUAUAAAUAUGUUAAGAACGCAGAAGCGUGAAAUAAAAGAAGAAAUACAGAAAAAAAUUGAAGGGAAAUUGAAGACAUCUCGAAAUCUAUAAUUGAUGGCAAUCUAGUGGAUAAGGUGAAAUAUAAUUGCCUAAAUUUAGAGAGAAAAAGUGGUGUUUCUUCACAUUUAGAUAUUAAUAUAGACAACAUGUAUGUCCAAAACCAACAAGGGGACAUAGUAUUAAACUGUGGGCACCUCCAAUUUGUAAAAAUCUAAUUCGUCAACACAUGUUUUGUACAACACAUUGUCAACAAAUAAUGGAAAAAUAAUGAUGUUGGAAGCUUGAAAAAAUUUGAAAUUUUGAUCAAAAACGAUAUCUAAACAAAUUAAGUGCCAGUGUAACAAGCGACACAAAAUUAGCCAAAUUAAUAUCAUAUAAAAAAACACUAACUGUUUACCUAUAUCAAGCAAAAAACAUUUAAUUUGGAUUAAAAGGAAUCUAGAUUUCACUGUUAAAGAAUACAACACAACCUUGUACUGUAUAUGCUUCCAAACCAAUAAAAACAGUCAAUUGGAAAUUCUAAAAAAAAAUGUUGGAUUCAAAUACCAAAGUACCUAUACUGAAGCAUGCAAUAUACUAGUAGUGGAACAAAUUUUUUCCAUUAAAUGUUUAUGAAGUGCAGUUCUUAGCCCUAAUACCAAACUCAAUGUAUUGUAUGUAUUAGACAUUAAUGUUAUGGAAUACCUAUAAAUGCCAACAUGUCAAAUAAAAAAUAAAGUGACUGUUUACUUUGGAGUUUUGGGCUACUAAAUGAACGUUAAACAGUCUACAGUCAAUAUGAAUAUUUGACUACACUAUCAUUUGGAGGAUGGUAUACGAACCCCGCGCCGCCGCCUCCGUGAAUGAUACACGUCACGCGUAAUGCGCUGCGGCGCCGAUCAACCAAAUUUUAGAAAAAGCUCUUCGUCGUGUACAAUAGAUUAAAGCUUAUCCUAAUUCUGAAUAUUA